UGUGCGGUUUUGUUUGAUCUGUGUGUAGCUUAUGUGAAGAAUAUGCACUUUUUUGGUUGAUCAACCUGAGCUGAACUAAUAAUAACGGUAGGAGCUGCUAAGGACUAAGAGAAAAGGACUGAUCCAGAGACUCAGCCAUCAGAAUUCCUGCACUACACAGAGAGAAGGCAUUCAGUAGAUCAGCCAUUCCAGAUGAGGAAUUGUUUCUGGGAGACAUAAUGGUCUCUGUAUCUCUCUGAAUAGUUUUCCGGUUUGCAAUGCAACACUCCGUCAGUUUGUGUAAAGCCUAGUUGUCUACAAUAAGACAGCAAGAUACAGCACCUGUUAGCUGUUUGCCUUGUUGAUUCUCAAAAGAAGAAGAAAGAGAAACACAACUUCACAGUACAAGUACUAUCAGGAGCAAAACAUGGCUGCUGGAGGCACAGACAAAGAUUUUAAACUGGUCAUCCCUGAUGAUAUUGUGGAGUUUUCUCCUGGCCAGGAUGUCACUCUGCGCUGUUACCUCUCUCCUGCAACCAGUGCUGUUGCCAUGGAGAUCAGGUGGUUCAAGAAAACAGAGUGUAUUUACCUAUAUAAGAAUGGUGACAUAACAGUACGGGAGGGUUAUGAGGGCAGAGUGAGUGUGGACACUCAGAAGCUGCAGAGAGGAGACGUGUCCCUGAGACUGAAAGAGGGCAGAAGAAUGGAGGAAGAAGUGUACACAUGCCAGGUCAUCAAUGGAUG